rnacentral:rRNA from 1 species
GAUGAACGCUGGCGGCGUGCCUAAUACAUGCAAGUCGAGCGAACGGACGAGAAGCUUUCUUCUCUGAUGUUAGCGGCGGACGGGUGAGUAACACGUGGAUAACCUACCUAUAAGACUGGGAUAACUUCGGGAAUCCGUAUCUAAUACCGGAUAAUAUUUUUAACCGCAUGGUUCCAAAGUGAAAGACGGUCUUGCUGUCACUUCUAGAUGGAUCCGCGCUGCAUUAGCUAGUUGGUAAGGUAACGGCUUACCAAGGCAACGCUGCAUAGCCGACCUGAGAGGGUGAUCGGCCACACUGGAACUGAGAAACGGUCCAGACGCAUACGGGAGGCAGCAGUAGGGAAUAUUACGCAAUGGGCGAAAGACUGACGGAGAAACGCCGCGUGAGUGAUGAAGGUCUUCGGAACGUAAAACUCUGUUAUUAGGGAAGAACAUAUGUGUAAGUAACGGUGUACAUCUUGACGGUACAUAAUCAGAAAGCCACGGCUAACUACGGG